rnacentral:rRNA from 1 species
UACGUAGGGGGCAAGCGUUGUCCGGAUUUAUUGGGCGUAAAGAGCGCGUAGGCGGCUUUGUAAGUCCGUUGUGAAAACUCGAGGCUCAACCUCGAGACGGCGGUGGAAACUGCAAAGCUAGAGUCCGGAAGAGGAGAGUGGAAUUCCUGGUGUAGCAGUGAAAUGCGUAGAUAUCAGGAGGAACACCGAUGGCGAAGGCAGGUCUCUGGGCUGACACUGACGCUGAGGCACGAAAGCGUGGGGAGCAAACAGG